rnacentral:rRNA from 1 species
GCGCAGCAGUUGCGAAAACUUGUCAAUACACGAAAGUGUGAACGGGCUACCCCGAGUGCCGUCCGCUGAGGAUGGCUUUUCUCUGCUGUAAGAAGGCAGAGGAAUAAGGAGAGGGCAAGUCUGGUGUCAGCCGCCGCGGUAAUACCAGCUCUCCGAGUGGUAGGGAUGAUUAUUGGGCUUAAAGCGUCCGUAGCUGGCCUUUCAAGCCUCUUGUUAAAUCCAGCGAUUCAAUCGUUGGACUGCGGGAGAUACUGUUAGGCUAGGGGGCGGGAGAAGCCGACGGUAUUUCCGGGGUAGGGGUGAAAUCCUAUAAUCCCGGGAGGACCACCAGUGGCGAAGGCUGUUGGCUAGAACACGCCCGACAGUGAGGGAUGAAAGCUGGGGGAGCGAACCGGAUUAGAUACCCCCGUAGUCC